UACGAAGGGGGGCUAGCGUUGUUCGGAUUUACUGGGCGUAAAGCGCACGUAGGCGGAUCUUUAAGUCAGGGGUGAAAUCCCAAGGCUCAACCUUGGAACUGCCUUUGAUACUGGGGAUCUUGAGUCCGGGAGAGGUGAGUGGAACUGCGAGUGUAGAGGUGAAAUUCGUAGAUAUUCGCAAGAACACCAGUGGCGAAGGCGGCUCACUGGCCCGGUACUGACGCUGAGGUGCGAAAGCGUGGGGAGCAAACAGG
rnacentral:rRNA from 1 species